AUUGAACGCUGGCGGCAUGCCUAACACAUGCAAGUCGAGCGGAGCGGCGGACGGGUGAGUAAUGCCUAGGAAUCUGCCUGGUAGUGGGGGAUAACGACCGGAAACGGGCGCUAAUACCGCAUACUAUCAGAUGAGCCUAGGUCGGAUUAGCUAGUUGGUGGGGUAACGGCCUACCAAGGCGACGAUCCGUAACUGGUCUGAGAGGACGACCAGUCAAACUGGAACUGAGACACGGUCCAGACUCCUACGGGAGGCAGCAGUGGGGAAUUGUGGACAAUGGGGGAAACCCUGAUCCAGCCAUGCCGCGUGUGCGAAGAAGGUCUUCGGAUUGUAAAGCACUUUAAGUAGGGAAGCGGUACCAGCAGAAUAAGCACCGGCUAACUACGUGCCAGCCGCCGCGGUAAUUC
rnacentral:rRNA from 1 species